rnacentral:lncRNA from 1 species
GGUCUGUCGCGAGCAACCCUACACCAUGCACCAGCGCCACUGCUCCCAGCAGGAGUGGGUUUUGCAGCGGUGGCGGCAGCCCCGCGCCCAGGCCGAGCAGAGUCAGGGCUGCCAGCGCCUGUGGUUGGCAAGUCAUUUAACUUUUCCAAACAAAUCUGCAAAAUGGAGAUAACAGCACCUGCCUCAUUGCGUUGUGAAGAAGAUGAAAUGUUUAGCCCGGUGCCCAACACCCAGUUCUCACUCUGUCAUCCAGGCUGGUGUGCAGUGGUGCAAUGUGGGCUUACUGCAGCCUUGACCUCCAGGACAAGUGAUCUCCCACCUCAGCCUCCGGAAUAGCUGGGACUACAGAGUCUUCUUUCUCCAGGACAAACACUCCGAGUUUUUCAGCUGUUCCUUGCAGGACAGGAUUCUGGGUUCUCACCAUGUGGAAUCUCUUCUCUGUUUGCUUCUUACCAGCUCAACAACGCCCCUCUGAAAGUAGGACUCUUGGAAAUGAACCUUGUUGGGAGUAAAGCUGAACCUUCACCUCUCCUUUCCAGGAUUCUACUCCAUUCAUACGGCCUCACACUGAAUUAAUGUUUCUAGCAGCCACAUUACUUUGUUACCCAAUUGAUCUAGUAGUAAAGUCUUCCCAUCUCU